AGGAUGGGUAGGGCUGGGGGGUUCGCCGUCCCCUAUACCGAAGGCGCAACGCGGGGCCAGUAAUCUUAUCGUGAGCUCAGCGUGCUGCAGAGGUCCCAUAACCCCUAUGAACUCCGCGCCGUGGAGUCUGCAGAGGUCGUGGACCUAUCGGAGGAUAGGAUCCUACGACCCUAACCGAGAUAACCUGGCCAGGCCCGGAAGGGAGCAACCUAUGCUCGGAUGCAGGCGUUCACGGAGUGCGGGGAGGAGGGCUUGUGGGGGUUAAACCUAUGUGGCAUGCUAAGCUCACGAUAGGAGGCCAAAAU
rnacentral:SRP_RNA from 1 species